UACAGAGGGGGCAAGCGUUGUUCGGAAUUACUGGGCGUAAAGGGCGCGUAGGCGGCCUGUUAAGUCGAACGUGAAAUCCCCGGGCUCAACCCGGGAACUGCGUCCGAUACUGGCAGGCUUGAAUCCGGGAGAGGGAUGCGGAAUUCCAGGUGUAGCGGUGAAAUGCGUAGAUAUUCGGCGGAACACCAGUGGCGAAGGCGACUCACUGGACCGGUUCUGACGCUGAGGCGCGAAAGCGUGGGGAGCAAACGGG
rnacentral:rRNA from 1 species